UACGUAGGGGGCUAGCGUUGUCCGGAAUCAUUGGGCGUAAAGCGCGUGCAGGCGGUCCGGUAAGUCCGCUGUGAAAGUCGGGGGCUCAACCCUCGGAUGCCGGUGGAUACUGUCGGGCUUGAGUACGGAAGAGGCGAGUGGAAUUCCUGGUGUAGCGGUGAAAUGCGCAGAUAUCAGGAGGAACACCAAUUGCGAAGGCAGCUCGCUGGGACGUAACUGACGCUGAGACGCGAAAGCGUGGGGAGCAAACAGG
rnacentral:rRNA from 1 species